ensembl:snoRNA
AUCACAAUAAAACUCCAAGGCUGGCAGUUGAUUGAAGCUGAUGGUUUAAAACAGGAGUGUAAAGAAAUGUCUUUUUAUGAUCUGUUGGUCAUUUCAGAUAUUUGGAAAUGGAAUGAGCAAUUCAUGAGAAAGAAACAUCU